AGGUUACCCCACGGAUAAAGGUGAACUAGUGUUACAACCCAUGUAGUUGAAGAUGAAGGAAGUGCUGCGUGAUGGGCAUUACCAGUCACAGGUGCCUCUCCAGCUAGACUCAUGCUGCAGAGGAGAGGGAGCAAAGAUGGCACAGAGUCAUCUCAGAUGGACCCGCGUAUUGACAAUGUGAUGUGUCAUGCACUACCUAGAGGACAGCUGUGGCAGGUCGAACGCUGUAUACAGCUCAAGGGCCCACAGGUUGGGUCAAGUUGAUCUAUGGUUGGUACGGAGGCUGGCGGCUCGGUUGUCUCAGAACGUGUGUCUGAAUCUUUCACGUGGUCUCCAACUGGCGCCGGCUGCCGUCUGUCCACCUGUGUCCCAGCUGUCAAUCAUGGGGGUUGGAGGAUGAUGAGUAAUCUUGGGCCCCAUCUUGAGAGACGCGCUGUCCUUGGCCUACUUCUCCCUGACAGAUGUGCAGUGGUCCGCACACCUGUGUUAUGAGCCAAUCACUGGGGUGAAUCAGAGAUAAUGUACUGAACAGUACAGCUUUAAUCGAGUGGGCGGUACAGCUAUUUGUGCUGAGGGUGGCCAGGCUAUGUUCCCUGUCCGUGGUGCUGAAUUCUAGAUAAUCCCUUGACAGAUCUGACGUGGGAUUCAACUUGAUGCCAAUGUUGACCCUUACUUGACAUUUGCCCCCCAUAGAGGCAAAAGGAAUGGAGAAACCCCAAUUGGGAUCUCUACUGGCUGACUCUACCGGAUGGGAAUCUCUACCCUGACAUAUACAUGAUUUCCUUGUGACCUCCUGACAUCUCUGAAAGGAAGGCGAGUCUAAGUUGUGUGUGGAUGUUCACUUCAGCACCAAGGAGAGCACCCAUGGGCCAGCCUAGGCGGAUGUGGGGUUGGGAUGACUUGUGCAACUUGUAGGAUUUUGGCACCAAGGAGAGCACCCGUGGGUCAGCCUAGGCGGAGGUGCGGUUGGGAUGACUUGUGCAACUUGUAGGAUUUUUGGUGGACCCUGUGAUUCCAGUCGAGUGGAGAGGGGGUGGAUUUGUGGACGGUGACCAAGCGAGGGUCAAGUACACAGCUGGCACGCACCGGAGCACGCUAACGAACUUCUUGACCCCCUUUUGCGCGCUGCCGCUUCCCAUGUCACCGGGUAUUCAAAUUCCUGAACACCUGUGCUGGCAUGCUAUUGUGGCAGCAGAAGAAAGGCGAGCACAAAUUAUGUGGGAGAAACAAGGGAUGCAGAAAUUUGUUUGUUGUCGUAACACUCCAACACCUGUCUUUACCAUCGCCUUUUCUUCACCGCCAGAGAAAAAAGUUUUGUGUUCAAAGUCGGGGAGAUGAAAAAGGCGGGCCCUGUGUCUCCCUGCCCUUUAGCACAGAAGCCCUGGUAACAGAAUCUGUUUUUGUAUGACUACUGAUUAGCAGGCAGAACUGUGCUACUGUUUUACACUCUCCAUGUUAUUAGGUCUGACCUGGGCGGCAGCCACACUUCUGUUUGGGGGAUGCAAAUGUAAUUACACAAACCUUGUCAACAGUGACUGAAGGCCAGGUGCCCCUGCUCCCAGUGUCGGAUUCAAACCCCCAACCCCUAGACAGACUUCACAACACAUGAUUGAUGGUUAAGUGUACAGAGCAGCUCUGAUUGCUCCCACUGUUUCCCCCUGAAGUGAAACCAUACAGGAGAUCGGAACUGUGAACUCCUGAACCCCAAAGGUCUCUCUCAAGCUCCUGCUUUGACUGCUCUAUUUCCCAUGUUGAAUUUCACACGGACUGUGAAGGAUGUGAAGACAAAAACAUGCAGAUGAUUUCUGUGGGAAACAGGUCUGGUGUAGCUGCAUGAGCAGUGAUGCUAGCCCUGCCCAAGAAUCCUAGACAUGCACCAUAAACCCAUCAUCUGUAACCAAUACCUAUGGAUUGGAUUAGCUUCUGUGACCUGAAAUAGGCCGUAGUUGUUGAACAGUGAGUAGGGUGACAUAAAUGUGUGCCUGAAGAGGGUAAAUGUCUACCCAUCAUUAAAAUUUGUGACUGUAAAUUUUUA